CAUGACAAUGUGAUUGAUCCCCCCAUUGAUACCCAAGCAAGGACUUGCAAUAACGGUCAUAAAGCUGGAAACUGUCCGCCAAAAUUGAAGCUUUGGAGCAGUUAAACUGACAUCCGUUUAUCAAUUCCCUUCUAGGUUGACAGUUGAUUGAUAAAGGCACUUCACCAGAACAGCUUACAUGGAUCCAUUCCUAAUGAAAUUACCAAUUGUCCUGAGCUUAGGGCUCUGUAAGUGGAAACGUUUCCUUCUCAUUUCUAUAUCUCCUUUGAGUUCCCAUCUACUUAUAUGUCACUAGAAUUGAGCAUUACAUUCCCCUUUUCUUCUACUGUGAGGUACUUGUUGCAUGCCAACUUGUCCACUAAAUUCUUCUCCGGGGAAAUCCCAGAUGUUGAAGUUCUAAGCGCUUUUAGGAACAAGUCGUAAUCCCAUCUGUCAUUCAAUAAACUUGUGUUGCAUA